rnacentral:lncRNA from 1 species
GGGAGAAUAGCUCUGAAAGCUCUCAUACUUGUUUGGGAAAUAUCUGUUGUGGCAUCGUCCUCACAGAUGACAACCUGCAAAACAGCACAACAUACAGGCCCCAGGGGUUGCAUGGACAAGAUACGCUCAAGUGUCCUCAACAUUCAAAAUGAUUUUCAAAUGUUUUAUCUUUCUGCACGUCAUUGUUUAGCCUUCAUGUUUUUAUAUGCAAUGCUUAUCAAAAAUUCGGACGUUUUUU